GGAUAUCUUGUCAUAGCAACAGAAACUGGACUCAGACAGCUCCAGUGUCCUGUUUUAAUCAUUAAGUCCAUCAGAAGACUCAGUCCUGCCUGUCAGAGUCCGAUGCCCGAGAAAAGGAGAAUUGCUUACAACCAGGAGCCACAUCUUCCUCUUGCUGGGACAGAUCUCCCAAGUGAAUUGACUCUGAGGUCUGUUGUCAUAGCACCGGAUCAACCAGCACAACUCAGAGUGGCCUGAACACUGAGGUGAUAAACUCAAGAAGCAAGUGUGGUAGUAAAAAAUAAACUGGCC
rnacentral:lncRNA from 1 species